AUCCUUUUGUGGUUCAUAAAGAACCAAGAUGACGAUUUCAUGCUAAUGCAUGACAUGUGCCUCCCUCAAAUCAUGUUGCCUCAUGGGCUCAUUGGCACAUUACCGUCUGAGG
ensembl:snoRNA